rnacentral:rRNA from 1 species
CCUACGGGUGGCAGCAGUGGGGAAUAUUGCACAAUGGGGGAAACCCUGAUGCAGCGACGCCGCGUGAGUGAAGAAGUAUCUCGGUACGUAAAGCUCUAUCAGCAGGAAAGAAAAUGACGGUACCUGACUAAGAAGCCCCGGCUAACUACGUGACAGCAGCCGCGGUACUACGUAGGGGGCAAGCGUUAUCCGGAUUUACUGGGUGGUAAGGGAGCGUAGACGGCGCUGCAAGUCCGGAGUGAAAGCCCAUGGCUUAACCAUGGUACUGCUCUGGAAACUGGAGAGCUUGAGUGCGGGAGGGGCAGGCGGAAUGCGUGGUGUAGCGGUGAAAUGCGUAGAUAUUAGGAGGAACACCGGCGGCGAAGGCGGCCUGCUGGACCGUAACUGACGUUGAGGCUCGAAAGCGUGGGGAGCAAACAGGAUUAGAUACCCCAGUAGUC